rnacentral:rRNA from 1 species
CGGCGAGUGAAGCGGCAACAGCUCAAAUUUGAAAUCUGGCCUCCUUUGGGGGUCCGAGUUGUAAUUUGCAGAGGGUGCUUUGGCAUUGGCGGCGGUCUAAGUUCCUUGGAACAGGACAUCGCAGAGGGUGAGAAUCCCGUACGUGGGCGCCUGCCUUUGCCGUGUAAAGCCCCUUCGACGAGUCGAGUUGUUUGGGAAUGCAGCUCUAAAUGGGAGGUAAAUUUCUUCUAAAGCUAAAUACCGGCCAGAGACCGAUAGCGCACAAGUAGAGUGAUCGAAAGAUGAAAAGUACUUUGGAAAGAGAGUCAAAUAGCACGUGAAAUUGUUGAAAGGGAAGCGCUUGCAGCCAGACUUGCCCGCAGUUGCUCACCUAGGCUUUUGCCUGGGGCACUCUUCUGCGGGCAGGCCAGCAUCAGUUUGGGCGGUUGGAUAAAGGCCUCUGUCACGUAUCUCCCUUCGGGGUGACCUUAUAGGGGAGGCGCAAUGCAACCAGCCCGGACUGAGGUCCGCGCAUCUGCUAGGAUGCUGGCGUAAUGGCUGUAAGCGGCCCGUCUUGAAACACGGACCAAGGAGUCUAACAUCUAUGCGAGUGUUUGGGUGUCAAGCCCGGGCGCGCAAUGAAAGUGAACGGAGGUGGGAACCGCAAGGUGCACCAUCGACCGAUCCUGAAGUCUUCGGAUGGAUUUGAGUAAGAGCAUAGCUGUUGGGACCCGAAAGAUGGUGAACUAUGCUUGAAUAGGGUGAAGCCAGAGGAAACUCUGGUGGAGGCUCGCAGCGGUUCUGACGUGCAAAUCGAUCGUCAAAUUUGGGCAUAG